UACGUAGGUGGCAAGCGUUGUCCGGAAUUAUUGGGCGUAAAGCGCGCGCAGGCGGUCCUUUAAGUCUGAUGUGAAAGCCCACGGCUCAACCGUGGAGGGUCAUUGGAAACUGGGGGACUUGAGUGCAGAAGAGGAGAGUGGAAUUCCACGUGUAGCGGUGAAAUGCGUAGAGAUGUGGAGGAACACCAGUGGCGAAGGCGACUCUCUGGGACGGUACUGACGCUGAGACGCGAAAGCGUGGGGAGCGA
rnacentral:rRNA from 1 species